CUGUGUUGUCUAGAAUCACCGCUGAAAUUCACCAACGCCAGCCCGAGAGCCUGUGGUGAAGCUGUGACACUCCUUCUGUCACUGCCAGGUCGGACAAGAAGUAAUGCGGGGUUUUUUUGUUUUGUUUUGUUUUCCGGUACGCGGGCCUCUCGCUCCGGACGCGCAGGCCCAGCGGCCAUGGCUCACGGGCCCAGCCGCUCCGCGGCAUGUGGGAUCUUCCCGGACCGGGGCACGAACCCGUGUCCCCUGCAUCGGCAGGCGGACUCUCAACCACUGCGCCACCAGGGAAGCCCAGGAAUGCGGUUUUGAGAGCUAGUCAGCAAGGCACAGAAAGCCCCCAUAUUAAAGCCUCCUUGAAGGUCCUAUUUCUCCCAUUUGCCUCCACAUUGAUCCUCUUCCCUUUGACUCUUCUUUCCCUCGCAUCACACAAGAGGAAGCCAACUGUGAAAGAUAUCUGGACAUACGUUUUCCUCAUGGGCUGUAAGAUGACGCAAAGCAAUCACUGUCACAUACUCUUCCUGGUUUGUCUUUCCUUCCAUCAACUGAGACGACCUUUUGUGUUCAUCCGGUCCCUAAUGAGAAGCCUAAUGAGAAGUGACUGGAAAUAGAUAACCCAAAUUACUUCAGUCAAGCAACCUGUUCCCUGGUGUUUCUAGGAGAGAUUGGUUUGAGGCAUUACAACAUGAUCAUGAUUGGAAUCUGGAAACUUCGGUUUGAAUCUCAGUGUCACUCGCCAAUUACCAGCUAUGUGAACUUGAGCAAGUCUCUGAGCCUUCUUUUUUUCAUCUAGCUAAUAUGGGUGAUGUUACCUCACAGGGUGGUUGUAAGGAUCAAAUCAAAUUAUGUUUGCAAAAUACUUAGCACUAACCCUGCUAAAUAAUAAGUGCUUGGGAAACAGUAGCCAUUGUUACAUUAUCUUUCUUACACUCACAUUUACUCUACUCCUCUGGUCUUUUUAAUUUAUUUUAAAUAUUACUUUGUACCACUGAACUAAUAACAUUCCUUUCCCCCAAAAUAACAAAAGGCAGUCAGAAGUGUCAAGUGUUGGUUUUCAAACUAGCUCAGGUGGCAGGACUUAGAAAUUAGGGUAGUCAUUGUGGAACCCUAUGAAAUGUUGAUGGAUUUAAUUCUUCCACAUGGACUUCACACAAAUUUACUAACACUAAAUUUGGCUAUAUUUUGUUUAUCCAGAUCUCCCACAUAUUAAAAAAUGUAUUUUAAGAAAUAAUAUGUCUGCCUUUUCCCUUUUUUUAAAAUUUUAUUGAAGUAUAGUUGAUUUUGCUUUUUUCCUUUAAAAUUUGUUGGCAACUCUUCACAAGAUAGAAAGUAUCAAACAUUUAAGAACAAUUCACAAAGUGCAAACCUUUAAAUCCAUUCUUCCUGAAAAUUAAGAAACCACUGUAAUUGUUCAGUUUUAGCAGCAGAGCUCUUUAGUGGGCAAAAGCAACAGGCAAAAAGCACAUCUGUUUGUCUGGCACAGACACUUUUAGGCACAGACCUCUUCCUCAGUUCUCUACAGAGUUUGAAGGUACUUGGUAUUGACAAUGUAAAUUCUGUAAAAGACAUUUCGACUGAGAAAGGGGGAAAAUUAAGUUCCAUUUGGAACUUUCUACAGGUGGAACCCUAGUUUAUUUCCAACCCAUUCCCUUCUAGUUUAUUCAUAUACUCCUGAACACAUAUACAAAAGUUGAUUAUGAAAAAAUUUAAAUGCACAGUAUAUUACAAGAGCAUUUUUCCCCGAGAGAGCUGAAAAUCACUAUUCAAUUCCUAAUUGCAACUCACCUUUAAGAUCUGAUCUUUGAAAAAGUACUUCCAGCUUGUAUUAUAUUUUCUGAUUUUGUCCUAAUUAGAGUCAUUGCUUUGUAUAUAGUUAAUGACUCCAUCUUUGCUCAGUUGUAUUAAGUUUAAGAAAACUAUGUUUUUUAUUACUAGUAUCAGCAUUUCCAUUUUCUAUUCAUAUUUAUAAAUGGUGAUAAAAAUGUAAUGAAAUGUUCAAACAAUCAUAUAAACAAAUACCCGUAAAUGAAGAUGCUGCCAAAAAAAAACUCUUGACUGGUAGGCUGUGCCACUGUGUAAGAGCUUAAAACGUUCAUUCACCAGCAAAUGCAAGUAUGUCACAAUUCCAUGUAUUAAAAGAUGACUAAGGAAUGGCAUUGUAAGAGAAACUCUAAGUUGAUCUAAAGUUGAAACCACAAACAUUGAUGACCACCUAUUUUGCACUCAUUGUUGACACAUUUUUUUCAAAGACAGUAUACUAAAGAAAUUACAAUUCUGUCAUCAUCAAGGGUAUUUACUGUACCCAAAUACAAACAUGACACCACUGACCCACCACUAAUAAGAAGUUUGAGUCGAUUCUCCAGUGUUGUAUGGGUUUUAUUGAACCUGCAGAUCCCCUUACUCAAAGCACCUAAGUACUUACAAGGGAGUUAAAUAUUAGGAGGAGCCAUUGGCAGCAAAGGGAGCAUGAUUGGCCUUUACAGAGAAUGACCACACAGUCAUAUGGUUUGGUACCAUAGCCCUUAUCAAGUAGCAAUGAGUAAAGGGAAGAAUACAGUAGAGUUGUGUAAACUGUCUUUAUUUUCUUUCAUAUAAUGGAAUACCCCUAAUUUCUUUGAAUCCAAAAUGGCUUCAGACAAGAGAUGAAUUUUUUUAAUAUAAUUGAAUUAUAGCUUUGUUGAUGUGAAAUAUAAAGAGUUUUCAAUUAUAAACAAAAAAAGAGGUGAGAGGAAGAAAAGUGAGGGGAAAUAAAGGUUUCAAUUGGACUUUAUCCCACACAUCUGAAGCCCAUGUCACAGUUUCUCUAGGUUGAGUGAAGCAAGCCUGAUGCGCAGUGUGAAAGGAACAAAAAAGGAAGUCGAGAGUCAGAAUUCAGCAGAAGAAAGGGAGCGGGACAUUUUCAUGUUACGUUGCCAACGUAAUAAUUGUAAUGAAACUUCAUUCAGGUGUAAUUUGGCUAUCUGAGAAUCUCAUCUAUCUAAAGUACAGCAAAGAACCAAGGAAAUAAAAGAGAUGGAAAAAGUCCUCUUCAGAAAUAAAACAGAGAUCACCAAAGUCCAUGCCCUAAAGAUCAAGCCCAUUACUCCUAGAGAUUCAUCAAAGCCCUUUCUCAUAGGUUAUUAAUGUUUACUUGGAUUCAAUUUUAAAGGACCUGGCAGUCCGGUUUCCAAACUCAUAAAAAAUUAAAAUCGGUAAACUAGAAGUGGGAGGAGAAACUAUCCCAUGUGGGCAUGCAGAUAGCAGUAAGAAGACUGGAAGUCUAUAAGCAGGACAGAGAUAAAAAAGGCAUAAAAAUUGACUUAAUGAUCAAAAAGCACCACAAUUUAGUGUCUUUAGACUAGGGGGGAAGAGUCUUACACCUCUAUAGGCCUUGUGGAAGAAAUAUUAAAAUCUGAUUCUAUAUUAACCUUGAGUAAUCAAGAAAAUUAAAUUAUAUUCACUAUACAGACAUUCUCUGAAUUAUGCAGCACUCAACUUUAUGUAAAUAGCUCUAUAAGGCACACAAUAAAUUUUUGAAAUUUUGAAGAUGAUUUUAUAUGACACUGAGAAAUACAAAGAAGUCAAGUGUAUGUUAAUGGUUAAAUAAGUUAUGACAUGAAAAUUUGAUGGGCAAUUAUGAAAUCAUAAAAACUAUUAGUGAAGAAAUGUGUAUGACACUUGAAGUUAAAAAACAGGAUACAGAAUUGUAUACGCAGCAUAAUCUUAAUAAUGUGUAAAAUACGUAGAAAGAAGAUCUUGUGAUCUCAUUAAUAACAGCCACAGAAAAAAUUUUUUAAACCUCAGAACAAACUAUGUGCAAUACACACACACAAAAAAACUAUAAAUAUUCACUGAAGGAAAUUUUUAAAACUGCGUAAACAAAAAGGCAUACCACAUUCCCUAAUGGGAAGACUUGAUCUGGUAAAGGUGCCAUUUUACCCAAAUAGUUUACAAAUUCAAUGUAAUUCCAAUCAAAAUUACAAUAGGAUUUUUAACAAAAUUGAUAUGCUAAUGCUAAAACUCAUCUGGAAGAAUACAUACUUAAGAAGAGCUA